AUGUAGACGCAGAAUUUGAAAAACUGAAACAUCAAAUCAUCUGCUUCCCGAAUCUGAAUCUGAAAGUUAACUUUAACUCAUAAAACCCACUAGCAAAAGAAGCGCUUUUAUCAUGUCAGGGAGAAUGUUCUGGAAAUUGAAGAAAAAGGAAGGUUGUAGCAAUUUAAUUAAGAAGUAAUUGCAAGACUGUUAGUCGGGCUUCCAAUACAAACACAUGGUGAUAACCAACGCUGAUAUGGAAGACAUGUCGGGUUCUGUAUCCAUCCUCGCGUUGAUAGCUUCCGUUUUAUUACAGUCAUACGACACAUAAUAAAAGCGCUUCUUUAGAUAAUCUAGGAUUAUUUUAUAACUAAACCCUUGAAUCCCAAUGCUUCUCUAAAAAUAUUUGUUUCUUUCCUUUUCAUGAGGUAAAACCGGUUUCAACAUCAAUCAUUCUUCUAACUAAACCCUUCGUAUUUAAAUACCAACGUGUUCGAAACAUUUCGAAUAACUAGUAGAAGAGUAUGGAUGAUUAGUUAAAGUUCAUAUGGAUUUUCAAGUAUGUUAGCAUGAAAAGUAUGGAUGAUUUUGUAUAUUGUUACUUGCAAAAAUUGUUGUGGAUGAUAGUUGAGUUUUAAAAGGAAAUUAACACAUGUUUACAAACCUG
rnacentral:lncRNA from 1 species